AAUUAGCCCGGAUAGUAACGGUUACCCCGCAGCAUAGGCUGGAAAACAGAAGGACUUAGCCUUGGCGUGUAUUGGCGUGAGGAGUAUAAGUGGAUAGCCGGAAAAAGC
rnacentral:sRNA from 1 species